UUUGAUAUGAGGACUGGGGAAAAGAUAUAAUAACUUCCCUAAUAUCUGAGUUCUUUUUUUAAAUCAAGCAGCUUAACUGUACUGCAGUCAAAAGGAUAUCAUCAGCCGAGAUUUCAAGAUGACACACAUGUCCAUGACGGCGUUUUUUCUACUCCUGAUGCUUUCCUACACAGGUUAGUGAUUUAUUGCAAAGUAUCAAGCCAAACUGACAAAGACAGUGCUGAAUCUGUUGGCAAUGAUGAGGGUUAUGAUUCCUAUAACUACAACAGCCGUCCUCGGAGGCAGCUAUGGUUAGUUUGUGCAUAUAAAUGUUUUAUCAU